rnacentral:rRNA from 1 species
AUGGGUGAUAUAAAUAAGAGGAAGAAAUUAGCGCAAGAGAGUUGUAAUUUUGGAAUCUCAGACCUCCCGGAUGAUAUGCUUGAGCACAUAGUAUCCUUCUUAUCAUUGAAUGAGGCCGUGAGGACUUGUGUUCUUUCCAAGAAUUGGAGCUACAUAUGGAAAUUUGUGCCUACCCUACAUAUUUCUGAUACAGUGGAUAAAUGUAACAGCUUAAUAGACAAUUUUUUGCGUGGCCAUGGGAACACCGCAAUCAUUGUUUGUGAUAUCGAGUUGACUAAUCUCGAGAAGGUAGAAAUGCAUGACAUGAUAGACACAUGGAUCUUUCAUAUCGUGAAUCUUUGCCAUGUUCAGGAGCUCAAAGUCAUUAGCUGUAUAGUGGAUGAUUUCCUAAAGUUCAGGGAUCAAGCUCUCAUCUCCAAGCACUUGAGGAGGUUAGAGCUUGAUAAGGUUCGCUUACAAGCUAGCAUUGUUGAUUUCUCAACCUGCCCUGCAUUGGAAGAAAUAGAUCUGAUGUUUUGUUGGAUUGAAGCAAAUUACAUUAUAUCAAAGUCAUUAAAGCGCCUGAUUGCAGUGGAAUGUGAAUUUGAUAGUGUGGGUGCACGCACUCACAUUUCUGUCCCCAACCUCAUCUUUCUUAAGUUAACUGAUAUUUGGCAUUAUACUCCUUUAUUUGAAGCCAUGCCUUCACUUGAAGUUGGAUAUGUUAGUCUAGGCGAGGACUGUUUAGACUAUUGUAACAACAAUAAAUCUUGGGGAUGUGAUAAUGUGGACUGCGGUUUUGGUUGCACUGAUGGUUACAAAUAUGAUAGCAUUCUUCUGGAAGGUUUAUCAAAUGCUAGUUACUUGGAGUUGCUAAGUGAACCAAGCAUGUUCAUUUUUGAUAGGGAUUUGCGGCGAUGCCCUACAUUUCGAAACUUGAGGACACUGAUACUCAACGAAUGGUUUUUGGUUGCUAACCUCCAUGGACUUGCACGCGUUCUUCACAACUCACCUAUUCUAGAGGAGCUGAAUCUCCUACUUUUAGAGGAGCCUAAAGAGGUGGUCGAAUCUAACGGGGACCAUUAUCAAGUGGAACAUCCCUUAUUGGAGACCCUUAAGGAAGUCAAAGUCAAUUGUGAAAGACAAUAUAUGUGGGUUCAGGAAAUAAUAAAUAUUUUGAUUACUUUUGGUAUAUCGCCUGAGAUAAUUAUCGUCAAAGAGAGCCAAAUGCAUCCAGAUGUCAUUUAG